CCCUUAGAUGUUCUGGGCUGCACGCGCGCUACACUGAAGCUAUCAACACGUUUUCCCUCCCUGAGAAGGGCGGGUAACCUUUUGAAUCAGCUUCGUGGUAGGGGUCGGGGCUUGCAAUUGUUCCCCGUGAACCAGGAAUUCCUAGUAGACGCGAGUCAUAAGCUCGCAUCGAUUAAGUCCCUGCCCUUUGUACACACCGCCCGUCGCUACUACCGAUUGAACGUUUUAGUGAGGCAUUUGGACCGACGCAUCUCAGUUUAACCGCUGGUUUGUGUUGGAAAGACUUCCAAACUUGAGCGUUUAGAGGAAGUAAAAGUCGUAACA
rnacentral:rRNA from 1 species